rnacentral:tRNA from 1 species
GGCGUGAUAGCUCAGUUGGUUUUAGAGCGUUGGAUUCAUAACCCAGAGGUCGGGGGUUCAAAUCCCCCUCACGCUACCA